AGAGACUUUUGGAAAUACUCUUUGGAGGGUGACAGUAUUGAGAAUAAUGAAGUGUCACGAAACUGGGAUACCCAUCACAGACUAGAUAUUGAGUACAGCUUGUGAUUAGAAUACUUUGUUGCAAGUUUCAGCAAAGGUUUGUCUCUACUAUUACACGAGGAAAUCGCUACAGACGACCUCAUUUUAAUGGUUAUGGAGUUAUGAUACAACGGAUUGAAUCGUGAACCUGCACAGCUACACAAUACUUUUAUGACACCCUGGACUUUUAAGUAUUUUAAAUUUCCUACUUCCAUUUUAUCUUUAUAUCAUAUUAUAUUAUAU